UCUUUUUUUUUUUUUUUGUAGGUAAGUGAUCUCCCUUUUUAAACCAUAAAAUUCUUCAGAGUGACAGUAGGGAAAGAGAAACAUGAAUAAAUACUGAAGUCUUUCUUGUUCAUUCAUAGACUCAAUAUCAGGAAGAUGAAAAUUUUUCCUAAAUUGAUCUCUGAUUUUGGUGCAUCCUCAGUCAAAAUUUAAAUAGGAAGCAUUUGUGAACUAGUCCAAAUUAUCUUCACCCAGCAAAAGACACAUGCAAGUAGCAGGUGUCUUAAUGUUUGUUUGGCAGCAAAUGAAGACACCAACUCACCUAGCAUAAGUUAGAAGGGCAUUUCUUGUCAUGGGGAACAAGAAGUGAGUGCCAUCAGGAACAACUGCAAGCUCUUUGUUUCCCCAUAUCCAUUUCAUUCUUUUCUCUUUAGAUGUAGCAAGAAAAUGGCUGCCCCACAGUCUGCUCCCAAGUUCACUUGUCCUCACAUGUCUAGGGACAGAACCAAUCUGAAAGUCACUGUGUCCUCAAUUCAUGGCCUCUUAAGAAAAAAUAUGACAGGGCCAGCCUCAGGCGGGUAACCCAAUUCAGUCGCCUCUGGGACAGCAGGGUGUGGAUCUUGGCCUGCCAACCAGUGCCAGUGUGUGGAAAUCAAGAUUUCUCUUGUGGGCAUGCUAAACUUGAGGUGUCUGUGAAAUAAAAGAGAAAUGGAGAUCUCAGUUAACUAUGAAUUUGGAGCUUAAAGACAGAUUUGGGAUGGAGAUGAAAUUUGGGAGUUAUCAGCAUUUUUAAAAAAUGAGUUACGCAUCUUUGGGAAAGCAUGAGUUACUCUGGGAAGAUAAUUAGAGGACUUGGGACAGAGGCCUAAGAUUCCCCAGCUUUGAACAUUCUGGUGGAGGAAGAGAAGCAACAAAGGCACCUGAAGGGAAGAGACAGAGAUAACCAGGAGAGAAACUAUCAUAUCAAACACUGAGGAGAAGGGAGUUGAGACUUGGCUUCAGGGAAAGGCUGGUGGUCCUGCCAGGGCCCAUGUUGGUGGAACAGAGGGACAGAUGCUGGGUGGCUGGUGUGAGGGUGACUGGAGGGUCUGCACAGUCGAGGGGAGCAGAAGUGGUGGGGGCUGGUGGAGCUGAGAGGAAGGGAGAUCCCCCAGAAGUUGAGGGGUUGGUGUUGUAUAGACAGACACCUCCUGCAUUGUACCAAGAAGAACAGAAAAAUGGGCAAAUGUAGUCAGUUUGUAGGUUUGGUGGUUUAGUUUUCGGCUUCCACGUUUUUAAGGAUGCAGGAGGCAAAGUCAUCAGUUGCAAAUGGGGAGUGAGAGGUUGUGAGAAGUUUGAAAAGAGAAGAAAGUGGAGAGAGAGAUCCAAGAUGGCUGAUUACUAGCAGCUCAGGAUUGUAACUCCCAGUGAAAGUGCAGAGAAUGAGAGGACGCCACACUUUCAGAUGAAUUUUUGUUGCUCACGGACCAGGAGAUUCCCAGCGGAGGAGCCCCACGGGUCACCAGAGUGACUCUUGUGGCCAGUGUGGUGGUUUUGCCGGUGCCCCAGCAUGGCAGUUCUUGGUGCAGAGUAAACAGGACUGGGUCCCCUUUUGGUCGACAUUUGGAGCUCCGGGAAGGCAGAGUUGUCUAUUUAGCUAAUUCAAAAAGGGACUCAAGAAAAGCCAGAUCAGAGAUUCCCAGGCAGAAAAGCACCACGAAUCUUAAUGCCACUGUUUUAGCCAGUGCAGUGGGUUGCUCAGAUUCCGGUGCUGGGAAUCAACAAGUUGGACGUCCACUCAGAGACCUGAUUUGAAAGUUGGUAAUUACAAAGACGACAGGUGGAUAAAUUUACAAUGAUGGGAAGAAACCAGCCCAAAAGGGAGGAAAACACCCAAAACCAGAACACCUCUCCUUCUACAAGGGAUCACAACUCCUCAUCAACAAGGGAACCAGGCCUGAUGGAGAAUGAGUGUGUUCCAAUAACAGAAUUAGGCUUCAGAAGGUGGAUAAUAUGAAACUUCUGUGAGUUAAAAGAACAUGUUCUAGCCCAAUGUAAAGAAACUAGGAACCUUGAAAAAAGGUUUGACGAAAUCCUAACGAGAAUAGACAGUCUAGAGAGGAAUAUAAGUGAAUUAAUUGAACUGAAGAAUACAAUACGAGAACUCCACAAAGUAUGCACAGGUUUUUUUUUUUUAAUUGCGUUUUAGGUUUUGGGGUGCAUGUGCAGAACAUGUAAGAUAGUUGCAUAGGUACACACGUGGUAGUGUGAUUUGCUGCCUUCCUCUCCACCCACAUCUGGCAUUUCUCCCCAUGCUAUCCCUCCCCAGCUCCCCCCACCACUGUCGCUCCCCUAUUCCCCACAAUAGACCCCAGUGCAUAGUGCUCCCCUCCCUGUGUCCAUGUGUUCUCAUUGUUCAUCACCUGCCUAUGAGUGAAAAUAUGUGGUAUUUCAUUUUCUGUUCUUGUGUCUGUUUGCUGAGAAUGAUGUUCUCCAGAUUCAUCCAAGCCCCUACAAAGGACACAAACUCAUCGUUUUUUAUUGCUGCAUAAUAUUCCAUGUGUAUAUGUUCCACAUUUUCCCAGUCCAGUCUAUCAUCGAUGGGCAUUUGGGUUGGUUCCAGGUCUUUGCUAUUGUAAACAGUGCUGCAAUGAACAUUCGUGAUGCACAGGUUUUAACAGUUGAAUUGAUCAAGCAGAAGAAAGGAUAUCAGAGGUUGAAGACAAAUUUAAUGAAAUGAAAUGAGGAAACAAGAUUAGAAAAGAAAGAGUAAAAAGGAAUGAGCAGUCUCCAAGAAAUAUGGGACUAUGUGAAAAGACCUAAUUUACAUUUGAUAGGUGUACCUGAAUGUCAUGAAGAGAAUGAAUCCAAGCUGGAAAAUAUUCUUCAGGAUAUUCAGGAAAACUUUCCUAACCUAGUAAGGCAGGACAAUAUUCAACUUCAGGUAAUACAGAGAACACCACAAAGAUAUUCCUCAAGUAGAGCAACCCCAAGACACAUAAUCGUUAGAUUCACCAGGGUUGAAAUAAAGGAUAAAAUUCUAAGGGCAGCUAGAGAAAGGUCAGGUUACCCAUAAAGGGAAGCCUAUCAGACUCACAGCAGAUCUCUCAGCUGAAACCCUACAAACUAGAGGAGAGUGGGGGUCAAUGUUCAAUAUCCUCAAAAAAUUCAAAAAGAAUUUUCAAACCAGAAUCUCAUAUCCGGCCAAACUAAACUUCAUAAAUGAAGGAAAAAUAAAAUUUUUCAUGAACAAGCAAGCACUCAGAGAUUUCCUCACCAGCAGGCCUGCUUUACAAGAGCUUCUGAUAGAAGCACUAUACACAGAAAGGUACAACCAUUAUCAGUCAUCCCAAAAACUUACCAAAUGGUAAAGAGUAUCUCCAUAAUGAAGACUCUAUAUCAACUAAUGGGCAAAAUAGCCAGCAAGCAUUAAACAACAAUAUUAAACUCAGAAAUAACAAUAUUAAUCCUAAAUUUAAAUGGAUUAAAUGCCCCAAUCAAAGACACAGACAGGCAAAUUGAAAAAAAAGUCAAAACCCAUCGGUUCGCUAUAUCUAGAUCCAUCUCAUAAGCAAGGACAUACAAAGACUCAAAACAAAGGUUUGGUGGAAGACUUACCAGUCAAAUGGAGAGCAAAACAAACAAACAAAAAACAGGAGUUGUAACUUUUGUCUCUGACAAAAUAGACUUUAAUAAUAACAAAGACUAAAAGAAACAAAGAAGGGAAUUACAUAAUAAAAGGAUCAAUGCAACAACAGGAGUCAGUGAUCACAAAUAUAUAUGCACCCAAUACAGUAACACCCAGAUACAUAAGACAAGUUCUUAAUGACUUAUAGAGACUUGGACUCCCGCACGAUAAUAGCAGGAGACUUUGGCACAGAUUGUUAAUUGACAGAUCAAUGAGAUAGAAAAUUAACAGGGACAUCUAUGAUUUGAACGCAGACCUGGAACAAGUAAACUCAGUGAAUAUUUAUAUAAUUCUUCAUCCCAGGUCCACAGAACAUACAUUUUUCUCAGUAUCACAUUACACCUAUUUUGAAAGUGACCACAUAAUUGGAAGUAAAUCACUCUUCAGCAUUUGUAUAGCAUUUCACAGACUUAAGUGAAAUAUUGGUUGGCUGCUUGUUAUUUUCUUCCCUUAUUCUUUCCUGUCUCUGCUGUUAAGCACAAUUGUUGGCAUAAAAGAGGUUUUUAUUACCUAUUUUUAGAUUGCAUUCCAGCCUGGGCAAUAGAGCAAGACUCCUGUUCUCUCUCCCCUUUUCUCUUUCUUUCAAAAAAAAAAAAAGUGUGGAAGUGUUGACUUGAGGAUGGGAAGGUCAGUGCCACAAGGUUGAGCCUGUGCUCACUUCAGAGGCUGGCACUCCACCCACAGGGUGUUGGCUACACACAUGCUCCCCAGGUCUCACUGUCACCUCCACCACAACGCCCUUUCCCAAGGCAACAUCUGAAAUUCCAACAGCAGCAUGGCCCUGUUACCCUCCUAACUCACCUGUCCAGACUUUAAAUAUCAUGCAAGCCAAUCUGCUGACACAUGCCUCCUCAGUCAGGCCCCUUUCUGGCCUCGUGUUUCUGCCUUUCUAGCCUGGAUUUGAUUACUAAUUUUUUCCAGUAAAUACUUGUUGAAUGCUUUCUAUAUGCCAGACAUGAGGCACCAAGGUGCAAGGAUACAGCAGGAACAAGACAGGCAUAAGUGCCUGCCCUGUGGAGUUAUGUGCCAGUCGAAGAGGAAAUGACCUAAUGAUCAUGGUUACUGGAAAGCAAAACUAAAGCAGAGAGGGAUUGAGGUCCAUGUAGGGUUCAGGAGUGGUCUGGUUUUCAAUGGGGACAAUCAGGGAAGGUUUCACUGAGAUGGCAUUUGACCAGUGACUCAAAGCACAUGAGAGUGUCAAAUGAAAAUAAAAGGAUAUUCAAGUAUCAGGUAGAGAGAAUAGUUAGUGAGACACCGGGCCUGAGAUCUGUAUUGUUUCAGGGUAACAUGUCUAGAAGUAGAGUGAGCAAGGGAGAGAAUGGGGAGGUAAGAGAGGUGCUAGAAUAUGUCAUGAAGGUCUGUGCCCAUUACUAAGACUUUGGGUUUUGCUCUGCGGGAAAUGGGGAGAUCCUGGAGGGUUCUGAGCAGAGGAGGAUGAUCUGACUUGCAUCUGAUAUGAUCACUGUUGUGUGAAGAGGAGACUGUGCAUUCCUUACUGUAUUUGAUACCUUCUGACUCUAUUUGUUCCUGUGAUUCCGCCCUUCACCUCACCUCAGUGCCAUUGGGAGAUGGCCAUCAGGAGACCCACUGCAGCUGAAGCACAGAAUAGGCCACACUGAUGGAUGCAGUGGACUGUGCAGGGGCCACAGGAAGGUGCUGCCUAGGACAAGAAUCAUCAGACAUCGCUGACUCUUACCUUCUCAAGCAACACAACCCACCCUCCUGGCGCCUCACUCUGCCUCACCUCAGCCUCUAGGCAAUAUCUCUCGGUUGUGAGGCCUUCAUUGGCGGGGGUCGAGUGUUGUAUGUGACCCCAGGUCUCCAGUAAGACAUGGUGGGAGGGAAGCAGCCUGGUGAAGGCAGGUGGUGGGAUGGGGCUCUCUCCCUCUUCCCCAUGCCGCCACCCUCCCUCACGCCCAUAUCCCGUCCAAAGCUCUUCCCGCGUCUGUUUCUGAAACCCCUCCACGUCCCCCUCCACCUCAGACCUCACCCUAGCCCCCGCGUCCCGCGACGCCAGCCUCUCACCCCACCGCGCCCUGACCCUCGCCGACCGAGCAUCGCGGGCUGCACCGGGUCCCAGGCCUGUGCCUCUUCCCCAGCUCCCAGAGGUUUUUGCCAACCACCCUCCUGCGCCACAGCUGUUCAUGUGCUGUUUACUUGCUUUUCCCUCCCCACCAAAAGGUGAGCCUUGAGAGGACACACCCUUGCGUAGAGCUUUGAACUUUUAUCCGGAAAGGUGCCGGGCACAUAAUCAAUGCCCGCGAGCACUCGCUUACGAGGGUCCUCCCGAGACCCACCGCAGCCUCUUCCCGGAGCCCCGAGGCCCCGCCCCUCACGGCUCCGCGCCCCGCCCCGCUUGCGCCCUGCGGGACCCGGAGUCACAGGCGCGCUUCUGUAGGACGGAAUUCGGCGUCGGACUCUGAGCCUCCUGGUUCCGGUGGCGACUGCAGCGCAUGGCGGCCCUAGGACAUCCUGCCGGGGAGGCAGCGGCGGCCCCAGGCCCGGGUACUCCCUGCGCGUCCCGCAGACACCUGCUCCCCGACCCGGUUUCCAGCGCCCGGAAUCCUUCCGCUGUCUGUCUCUGCCCAGGGCAACCCACGGGCAGUAACACCGUCUCCAAAGUGCACCCGUUAGGCGAUGAAGGCAGCGCAGCGUCGAAAAAACAAAAGAAGAAGAAAACCCGGAACAGGGCCUCUGUGGCAAAUGGAGGCGAGAAGGCCUCAGAGAAACCCGCCCCAGAGGAAGUCCCCCUAAGCGCUGAGGCCCAGGCACAGCAGUUGGCCCAGGAAUUGGCUUGGUGUGUGGAGCAGCUGGAGCUGGGCCUCAAGAGGCAGAAAGCCACUCUGAAACAGAAAGAGCAGGCUAUUGGAGCAAUCCGAGCCCUGCGCAGCAAAAGAACUCCCCUGCCCCAGAAGAGGCUGCUGAUGCACUCCUUGUUUGGAGACUACAGGGCUCAGAUGGAAGCCGAAUGGCGUGAGGCCCUGCGGGCUCUCAGAGGUGCUGCUUAUUCAGCCCAAGUGCAUCCUGUAGAUGAAGCCACUAGAAAGAAGAGCCAAAGGGUCUGCAGGCCUCGCCCUUUAGGGAGAGCCGAAGCCACUCUGGAAACUGCUCUGCCUGAUGAAGAGUUUAGAGAUGGAUUUUCAAACUCCUGACCUCAAGUGAGCUGCCCAUUUUGGCCUCCCAAAGUGCUGGGAUUACAGGCAUGAGCCACCAUACCCGGCCCCUUCAGAUGGAGUCUUGCUUUGUCACCAAGUCUGGAGUGCAAUGCCAUGAUCCAGGCUCACUGUAACUUCUGCCUCCUGAGUUCCAGCAACUCUCCUGCCUCAGCCUUCCUAGUAGCUGGGAUUACAGGCAUGAGCCACCAUGCCCAGCUAAGUUUUUGUAUUUUUAGUAGAGACAGGGUUUCAUCAUGUUGGCCAGGCUGGUCUUGAACUCUUGUCCUCAAGUGAUCCACCUGCCUUGGCCUCCCAAAGUGUUGGGAUUACAGGAGUGAGCCACCGUGCCUGGCCACUCUACCCUCAAUACAACAGCUAGUACAAUCCUUUCACAGUGGAAUCAAGAUCAUAAUUACGUCUCUGUUCAGACUCUCCAGUGGCUUUCUUUUGUACAUGACCUGGCCCCUGCUACCUGUCUCACUGUUCUUCCUGCUACUCUCCUGCUCUUACUCCUAUUUAUAAACACUGAGCUCAUGUUGUUUCUAUUAGCAUGCUAGACAGGCUUGAUCCUGUCCUGUUUCUGGGCCUUGCUGCUUCCUCUGCCUGGAACAUUCUUCCUCUACUCUCUGCUUGGCUCACUCUUUCACUGCUUUGGAUUGUGGUUCAAAAGUCACUUUAUCAAGGGCUUCCAGGCUGCGCUGAGACUUUGCUCACUACCUGUGGAGCUCUGUCCUGCAGACCUUGUCUGAGCAAUGGAUGAAUGAACUACUCUCUUACUUACAGAAUACAGUGCAAGAGUUGGGCUAAGGGGUCCUCAGCUGCUUUUAGAGGGUGAUUGCAGCUAAUUGACUACAACUCUUGUUUCUUCUUGCAUUUAUUCAGUAUAGAUUUAAUAACAGGUUUUAAGUCAACAUGGUUGUGAAUAAAGAUGGAUAAUGGAGUGGAUUUGCGAAUCAUAAAAACCUUUGGUUCUGAGGACCAGAAUAAACACCAUUACCUAGUAAUUCUUUUUCAACCUCCCCUGGGAGGGCCAUCUAGCACAAAGUUUAUAUGAGUAAACAGAGUAGAGACAAAGGAAUGUCGGGCAAACAGAUUUAACUGGGGAAGCUUUUAUUAUCUUAAUUUCCACCUUGUGACUUAAAGCUCUAAGGUAAGAACUGGCUGUCUUCAACCCGGCUCAUUAAAACAUUUUGGCUUUCCAAAAAGGUUUGAUACUAUAAUCUAUAACUUCCCUAAUAUUUCCCUUAAUAUUUUGACAGCCACCCUGAGUGAAUCCCAACACUGCUCUGCAUAAAAUAUAUCCUUAAUUUAUAUUUUCUAUUUGAUGUCUGACUCCCCCUUGUCCUUCACUAAAAUGUAAACUCCAUAAGGGAAGGCAUUUUGUCUGUUUUGUUUUGUUGUAUCCCUAAAUACCUAGAAGGUGCUCAGUGAAGACUUGUUGGUUGAAUGAAUAAAUCAGCCUAUUAUUGAGUCAGUCAAUGUCUUCUGUAGAAGGGACUUCUCCUACCAGUGGUGCGUAUCUGUAUGAUAGCUGGCAUAGGGAGGGAUGUGGUGAGAAUGGCUCUGUCUGUGUGGACUAGUUUUGCCUAGCAUGAUCCCAGCAGGCUCCUACUGGGGCCAAGUCACAAUUUCAGUCAUAUUAGUAUCAUUCUUUAAUCAUAAAGCCAGAGGAUGUUAAGAUUGGAAUUGAUCUGGGAGACUAUUCAGCCUACCUUUCUCGUGAAUUAUAUGAGAAUAACAGAGCCUAGAGAAAGUAAGUUAAUUACUCACAAUUGUAAAGCUGUAAAGGUCUACCUUAAAUUAGGCUUUUGACAUCACAUUCUGUAGUCUUUCCUACAUGUGUUCUCCCCGGCUGAUACAGUUCGUGGGCUUUCAGAUUUGACAAUUUUCUCACCAGUCUCUAAACAGGAGCUUUUAUCUGCACAUUAUAGGUUAACAUAGAUGAAUCAUGACCCUAAAAUGUGUGGGAAAAUCCCAAAGGUUGACCACUGUGAAUGAGAACUACCCCAAAUGUGUCAGGAGCACCACAGGCAUGCUCACUUCUUUACUGGCUGGAGCUGGGUAAGAUGGAAAGGAAACCCAAAUCAAGGCACUUUGCUGCUUCAGUUCUUUUAUUACAUGUCAAAGUCCAAUGUGUCUCCAUUUAAAGUCAGAUUUUUUGAUGAAUGGUCACACCAGCUGCAGGCCGUUUGGGUCAGAAGUUUUGAUAUCACUAAUUGUUCAUUUUCUAGAUGGACUUCCAUACUUCAGGCAUUUGUGUGUAGCUGGACAGUUGUGAAGUUCUCAGAGUGGUGUAGAGCCCUCUCUUUUUGGGACAGUUGGUUCUACUUGUGCAGCAUGUCCUGAACCUGGCCUAUCUCCAUCUUCUUUCUAAAUGUGUGAGGUCUUUUGUUAGGGAGCAUAAAGUGAAACAGGACUCCUAAAGAGGGAGAAAAACUCCUCCAACAUUUGCUGAAACAUGUUUGUAACCUGACCAAGAUGUAAUUGGAAUAGCGUAAAAAGACUAAAAUUUAUUUAAUUUCUUGCCAUCUGGCUUGUGAUAUAUAGUGCCUUCAAUUGAGUUUAGAAGUAACUUUGAUCACAGGUCAAGAGGUGAGAUGUGUGUGUGUGUGUGUAUGUGUGUGUGUGUGUGUGUGUGUGUGUAUCUAUAUCUCUAUCUAUCUAUCUAAUCUAUCUAUCCAUCUAUAGAGAGAGAUGAAGUUUUGCUCUAUUUCCCAGUCUGAAGUGUAGUGGUGCAAUCUCAGCUCACUGCAACCUUGGUUUUUCAGGUUCAAGUGAUUCUCCUGCCUCACCUCCCAAGUAGCUGGGAUCACAGGCAUGAACCACCACAUCCAGCUAAUUUAUGUAUUUUUAGUAGAGACUGGGUUUCAUCAAGUUGGUCAGGCUGGUCUCAAACUCCUGACCUCAUGUGACCCACCCACCUUGGCCUCCCAAAGUGCUGGGAUUAUAGGUGUGAGCCACCACACCUGGUCGGAUAAUUGAGUUUCUUAUUAUAUCUGGGUUUCUGCAGAAUUUUAGUGGCCGAAGAAAGUACACUAGUGUUAAUUUUUUCAUUAUGAAAGAAGUAAUUUACUUUUUAUAUAAUUACUUGUCAGUCACGGGAAGGAAAAGUCCGAGUUUUUGUUUACAAUGAUAGGAAUCAUUGUUACAUUACAGGAUGACUCUGUGAAUGCCUUUAGGAAAAAUCCCUAGUCAUAUCUUGACCAUUUUACUAGCUAUGAGACCGCCAUUGUACUGGUUACUGUAACAUUUCUUCGUUUUCU